rnacentral:misc_RNA from 1 species
AAGUCGUAACAAGGUUUCCGUAGGUGAACCUGCGGAAGGAUCAUUACCGAGUCCUGGGGAUCUAACCGGUCCUCAACCUCUCAACCCCUUGCGAACGUACCUCGUUGCUUCGGCGGGCCUGCUGGCUCCACGGUCAGCUGCCGGCUCAGGCUGGCUCGCGCCCGCCGAAGGGUCAUCGUAAACUCUUCGCACCGAAAUCAAGUCCGAGCGGGUUCAUGGGAAAUGAAGCAAAACUUUCAACAACGGAUCUCUUGGUUCCG